UACGAAGGGGGCAAGCGUUGUUCGGAAUUACUGGGCGUAAAGGGCGCGUAGGCGGCUUAUCAAGUCAGGCGUGAAAUUCCCGGGCUCAACCUGGGGGGCUGCGCUUGAUACUGAUUGGCUUGAAUGCGGGAGAGGAUAGUGGAAUUCCCAGUGUAGAGGUGAAAUUCGUAGAUAUUGGGAAGAACACCGGUGGCGAAGGCGGCUAUCUGGACCGGUUCUGACGCUGAUGCGCGAAAGCGUGGGGAGCAAACAGG
rnacentral:rRNA from 1 species